rnacentral:rRNA from 1 species
ACGGGCUUCGGUCUGGUGGCGAGUGGCGAACGGGUGAGUAAAGUAUCGGAACGUACCUUUCAGUGGGGGAUAACGUAGCGAAAGUUACGCUAAUACCGCAUAUUCUGUGAGCAGGAAAGCAGGGGAUCGCAAGACCUUGCGCUGAUUGAGCGGCCGAUAUCAGAUUAGCUAGUUGGUGGGGUAAAGGCCUACCAAGGCGACGAUCUGUAGCGGGUCUGAGAGGAUGAUCCGCCACACUGGAACUGAGACACGGUUCCAGACUCCUACGGGAGGCAGCAGUGGGGGAAUUUUUGGACAAUGGGGGGCAACCCUUGAUCCAGCCAUGCCCGCGUGAGUGAAAGAAAGCCUUUCGGGUUGUAAAGCUUCUUUUCGGCCGGGGAAGAAAAUCGCAUGGGGCUAAAUACCCUGUGUGGAUGACGGUACCGGAAUAAGAAGCACCGGCUAACUACGUGCCAGCAGCCGCGGUAAUACGUAGGGUGCGAGCGUUAAUCGGAAUUACUGGGCGUAAAGCGUGCGCAGGCGGUUUAGUAAGACAGGCGUGAAAUCCCCGGGCUCAACCUGGGAACUGCGCUUGGUGACUGCUAAGCUAGAGUAC